AUUGAACGCUAGCGGGAUGCCUUACACAUGCAAGUCGAACGGAGUGGCGAACGGGUGAGUAAUGUAUCGGAACGUGCCCAGUAGCGGGGGAUAACUACGCGAAAGCGUCGCUAAUACCGCAUACUAUUGGAGCGGCCGAUAUCGGAGUAGCUAGUUGGGGGGGUAACGGCUCACCAAGGCGACGAUCCUUAGCUGGAUUGAGAGGACGACCAGCCACACGGGGACUUAGACAAGGCCCAGACUCCUACGGGAGGCAGCAGUGGGGAAGUGUGGACAAUGGGGGAAAGCCUGAUCCAGCCAUGCCGCGUGUGGGAUGAAGGCCUUCGGGGUGUAAAGCACUUUUGGCAGGAAAGCGGUACCUGCAGAAUAAGCAACGGCUAACUACGUGCCAGCAGCCGCGGUAAUAC
rnacentral:rRNA from 1 species